CUUAGUAGUACUGCAGUAGUAUAGUAGUAGUACUGCAGUAGUAUAGUAGUAGUACUGACCGCAGCAUGUCGGGGUAGAACUGUUUGUCCCAGCCGCUGUACAGAGACGUCAUCACAUAAAGUCUCAAACCGUCCAAACUCAGCUGUAACAUCUGAGGACUUCCAUAUAUACGCUUCCCCUGAGAGACAGACAGAGAAAGACAGGUGGAGAGAGACAGACAGGUGGAGAGAGACAGACAGGUGGAGAGAGAGAGAAAGACAGGUGGAGAGAGGAAGACAGGUGGAGAGAGACAGACAGGUGGAGAGAGGAAGACAGGUGGAGAGAGAGACAGACAGGUGGAGAGAGGAAGACAGGUGGACAGAGACAGACAGGUGGAGAGAG